rnacentral:rRNA from 1 species
UACGUAGGGGGCAAGCGUUGUCCGGAAUCAUUGGGCGUAAAGCGCGUGUAGGCGGCCAGAAAAGUCCGCUGUGAAAACUCGAGGCUCAACUUCGAGCUGUCGGUGGAAACUUUCUGGCUAGAGUCCGGAAGAGGAGAAUGGAAUUCCUGGUGUAGCGGUGAAAUGCGCAGAUAUCAGGAAGAACACCCGUGGCGAAGGCGGUUCUCUGGGACGGUACUGACGCUGAGGAGCGAAAGCCAGGGGAGCAAACGGG